rnacentral:rRNA from 1 species
UACGUAGGCAGCGAGCGUUGUUCGGAAUUACUGGGCGUAAAGAGUGUGUAGGCGGUGCUCUAAGUUCGGUGUGAAAUCUCCCGGCUUAACUGGGAGGGUGCGCCGGAAACUGGAGUGCUCGAGCGUGGGAGAGGAAAGCGGAAUUCCUGGUGUAGCGGUGAAAUGCGUAGAUAUCAGGAGGAACACCUGCGGUGUAGACGGCUUACUGGACCAUAACUGACGCUGAGGCACGAAAGCGUGGGUAGCAAACAGG